ensembl:lncRNA SNHG14 small nucleolar RNA host gene 14
CCUUGGUGGGCCGUGAACUGAAUGGUGGCGCUGGCCUGUGCCCAGUAUAUCUGGGUUCGGUGGCUGAGAGAGCUUUUGUUGCCCUGUGUCCGUGACGGGCCAGUGUUCUGCAUGCAUCCCAUCACAUGGAUCCAUGGAGGAUGUUGAGCCCAGAGGAAGACUUGCACUGGGCCCAAUGGCCCCAGGUCAGCGUCCAUCAGCCAGGUGUCCAGCCCCUGGUGCACUGAAGAUCGGGCCCUUCCUGGUGCCCUGGUCUCCUGCAUUGAGCUGUGUGAGCUCUUCCACAUGGAAGACCCCUGUCAUUGACUGGCAUAGGGUUCAGUGGCGGAGAGAGCAUCAGGUGGCCCACGUCUGUGAUGGGCCAGUAUUCCACAUGGAUCUCAUCACAUGGGUCCAUGGAAGGCGAGCAUCCCUGAGCUGGCACACCCCACCUUCUGCCAGCAUGGAAGGAUGGUGAGCACAGAGGAAGAAUUGCGUUAGGCCCUUUGGCCCCGGACCAGUGUCUGCCAGCCACGUGCUCAGCCUCCCGUGCGCUAAAGCUCAGGUCCUUCCUGUCAUCCUGGUAUCCUGCACUGAGGUGUGUGAGCUCUUCCCCCCAGCAGGCCCCCUGGGAUUGACUGGCAAAGGUGAAUGGUGUCUGUGGAGGAAGACUUGCCAUUGGGUUGCUGGCCCCAGGCCAGUGGUUGUCAUCCAGGUGCCCAGCCUUGGUGCACUGAAGCUCAGGCCCUUCCUGGUGCUCUGGUCUCCUGCACUGAGCUGUGUGACCUCUUUUGCCCGGCAGACCCCCUGGCAUUGACCAGCAUAGAUAGUGAGACUGGAAGAAAACUUUCAUUGGGCCCGCUGUCCCGGGGUGAGUGGUCAUCAGUCAGGUGCCCAGCCCUUGGUGUGGUGAAGCUCAGGCUCUUCCUGGCGCCCUGGUCUCCUGCACGGAGCUGCGUGAGCUCUUCUACCCAGGCGGGCCCCUGCCCUUGAGCGGCAUAGAUGGUGACCCCAGAGGAAGACUUGCGUUGGGCCCACUGGCUCUGGGCUCAGCCCCUGGUGAGCUGAAGCUCAGGCCCUUCCUGGCACCCUGGUCUGCUGCACUGAGCUGCGUGAGCUCUUCCACCCAGGUGCAACCCCCUGGCAUUGACCAGCAUAGGUAUUGAGCCUGGAGGAAGACUUGAAUUGGUCCCAAUGGUCCCAGGCCAGCAUCCAUCAGCUAGGUGCUGAGCCCCUGGUGCACUGAAGAUUGGGCACUUCCUGGCACCCUGGUGUGCUGCACCGAGCUGUGAUGAGCACAUCCGGGUCCUGCUGGAUGCAUGCGCCGGGAAGGACGUGCCCUGAGUUGGGUCGAUGAUGAGAACCUUAUAUUAUCCUGAAGAGAGGUGAUGACUUAAAAAUCAUGCUCAAUAGGAUUACGCUGAGGCCCAGUCUAGUGAGCUCUUCCCCACAGGUGGGCCCCCUGGCAUUGACUAGCAUCGUGAGCUCUUCUGCCCAGCAGCCUCCCUGGCAGUGACCAGCAUAGAUGCUGACCCUGGAGGAAGAAUUGCACUGGGCCCACUGGCCCCGGGAAAAUGUCCCUCAGCCAGGUGCUUAGCCCCUGGUAAUCUGAAGCUCAGGCCCUUCCUGAUGCCCUGGUCUCCUGCACUGAGCUGUGUGAGCUCUUCAGCCCAGGUGGGCUCCCUGACACUGAUGCGCAUAGAUGGUGAGCCUGGAGGAAGACUUGCAUUGGGCCCAAUGGACCCAGGCCAGUGGCCAUCAGCCAGGUGCCCACCCUGGUGUGCUGAAGCGCGGGACCUACCUGUUGUCCUGGUUUCCUACACUGAGCUGAGUGAGCUCUUCAACCCAGGCGGGGCACCCUGGCAUUCACCAGCAUAGACUGUGAAAUGGGAGGAAGAAUUGUGUUGGGCCCAAUGGCCCUGGGCCAGUAUCCGUCAGCCUGGUGUCCAGCCCCUGGUGUGCUGAAGCUCAUGCCCUUCCUGGUGCCCUAGUUUCCUGCACUGAGCUUGUGAGCUCUUUUGCCCAGAAGACUCCCUGGCAUUGAUCGGCAUAGAUGGCAGCGCUGGAGGAGGACUUGUACUGGGGCCGCUGGCCCCACAUCAGUGUCCGUCAUCCCGGCGUCCAGCCCCUGGUGUGCUGAAGCUCAGGCCCUUCCUUGUGCCCUAGUCUCCUGCACUGAGCUUGUGAGCUCUUCUGCUCAGGCGGGUCCCCUGGCAUUGACCAGCAUAGAUGGUGGCCCUGGAGGAGGACUUGUAUUGGGGCCACUGGCCCCACGUCAGUGUUCGUCAGCCUGGCAUCCAGCCCCUGGUGUGCUGAAGCUCAGGCCCUUCCUGUUGCCCUAGUCUCCUGCACUGAGCUUGUGAGCUCUUCUGCCCAGGUGGUCCCCCUGGUCUUGAUGGGCAUAGAUGGUGAGCCUGAAGGAAGACUUGCAUCAGGACCAAUGGACCCUGGCAAGUGUCCGUCAGCCAGGUGCUCAGCCCCUGGUGCACUGAAGCUCAGGCCCUUCCUGGCCCCUUGAUCUCCUGCACUGAGCUGUGUGAGCUCUUCUGCCAAGGGGGGGCCUCCUGGCAUUGACCAACAUAGAUGGUGAGCCUGGAGGAAGAUUUGCAUUGGGCCCAAUGGCCCUGGGCCAGUGUCUGUCAGCCAGUUUCCCAGCCCCUGGUGCACUGAAGCUCAGGCCUUUCCUGGCAUCCUGGCCUCCUGCACUGAGCUGUGUGAGUGCUUCUGCCCAGGCAGGCCACUUGGCAUUGACCGGUAUAGAUGGUGAGCCUGGAGGAAGAUGUGUGGGACCCGCAGGCCGAGGGCCAGUGUCUCUCAGCCAGGUGCUCAGCCCCCAGUGGGCUGAAACUCUGACCCUUCCUGGCACCCUGCUCUCCUGCACUGUGCUGUGAUGGUGAGACUUCUGUUGGGCUUGCUUUUCCUGGGCCAGUGUCCAUCAGCCAGGUGCUCAGCCAUCGGUGCGCUGAAGCUCCAGCCCUUCCUGGUGCCCUGAUCUCCUGCACUGAGCUGUGAUGAUGAGCUCUUUCACCUAGGAGGGCCCCUUGGCAUUGACUGGCAUAGAUGGUGACCCUGAAGAAAGACUUCAGUUGGGCCUGAAGGCCCCGGGCCAGUGUCCAUCAUCCAGGUGCUCAGCUCCCAGUGCACUGAAGCUCAGACCCUUCCUGGUUCCCUGGUCUCUUGCACUGAG